rnacentral:tRNA from 1 species
AGAAACUUAGGUUAAUUKAACCAGGAGCCUUCAAAGCCAAUACGAGUAACACACCAAGCCUCAUAGUUUCUG